rnacentral:rRNA from 1 species
UAUACCGUGAAACUGCGAAUGGCUCAUUAAAUCAGUUAUCGUUUAUUUGAUAGUACCUUACUACUUGGAUAACCGUGGUAAUUCUAGAGCUAAUACAUGCUAAAAACCUCGACUUCGGAAGGGGUGUAUUUAUUAGAUAAAAAACCAAUGCCCUUCGGGGCUUCUUGGUGAUUCAUAAUAACUUAACGAAUCGCAUGGCCUUGUGCCGGCGAUGGUUCAUUCAAAUUUCUGCCCUAUCAACUUUCGAUUGUAAGGUAUUGGCUUACAAUGGUUUCAACGGGUAACGGGGAAUUAGGGUUCUAUUCCGGAGAGGGAGCCUGAGAAACGGCUACCACAUCCAAGGAAGGCAGCAGGCGCGCAAAUUACCCAAUCCCGACACGGGGAGGUAGUGACAAUAAAUACUGAUACAGGGCUCUUUUGGGUCUUGUAAUUGGAAUGAGUACAAUUUAAAUCCCUUAACGAGGAACAAUUGGAGGGCAAGUCUGGUGCCAGCAGCCGCGGUAAUUCCAGCUCCAAUAGCGUAUAUUAAAGUUGUUGCAGUUAAAAAGCUCGUAGUUGAACCUUGGGCCUGGCUGGCCGGUCCGCCUCACCGCGUGCACUGGUCCGGCCGGGCCUUUCCUUCUGGGGAACCGCAUGCCCUUCACUGGGUGUGUCGGGGAACCAGGACUUUUACUUUGAAAAAAUUAGAGUGUUCAAAGCAGGCCUAUGCUCGAAUACAUUAGCAUGGAAUAAUAGAAUAGGACGUUGUGGUUCUAUUUUGUUGGUUUCUAGGACCGCCGUAAUGAUUAAUAGGGAUAGUCGGGGGCAUCAGUAUUCAAUUGUCAGAGGUGAAAUUCUUGGAUUUAUUGAAGACUAACUACUGCGAAAGCAUUUGCCAAGGAUGUUUUCAUUAAUCAGUGAACGAAAGUUAGGGGAUCGAAGACGAUCAGAUACCGUCGUAGUCUUAACCAUAAACUAUGCCGACUAGGGAUCGGGCGAUGUUAUCUUUUUGACUCGCUCGGCACCUUACGAGAAAUCAAAGUCUUUGGGUUCUGGGGG